AGAGUGCAGAUGAUGAGAUCAUAGUUCAUCAGAAAUGAAUUGAAGACCACAAAAUGUCUUUCGCUUCUAGCUGAUGCACCCU